rnacentral:lncRNA from 1 species
UGAAAAGUAAACAGCAGUGCUAGCAACAGGACUGUUGUUCAACGCCAGCGGAGAUGGCCAGCAUCAUUCCAGUAACCAGCGGAGGGAAAGAACAUGCACACGCAGAGCCCUCUCCCGCCUGUAGAAGCCAGAGCACCUUUCCGAUGUCCUGCCUUACCUGCUGACAAAUCCAUCAGCACCCACCAAAAUCAAAUGCAGCUAAUUGGAAGGUUCAAAGUGCCAGCAGCACCACCUCACCAUCCAUCUGGGAUGCGACCCCUUCAUCAAGCAGAGGGUUGCGUACCUGUCUCAACCAGAGGCUUUGCCGCUUUCAGCAGCUAAACACUUCAGGACACAACU